rnacentral:siRNA from 1 species
UACCAUCAUCAUACUCAGCGUCCU